rnacentral:rRNA from 1 species
AUUGAACGCUGGCGGCAGGCCUAACACAUGCAAGUCGAGCGGCAGCGCGGGGGCAACCCUGGCGGCGAGCGGCGAACGGGUGAGUAAUACAUGGGAAUCUGCCUAGUAGUGGGGGGAUAACUCUGGGAAACUAGAGGUAAUACCGCAUACGCCCUACGGGGAAAGGGGGGGAGUCUUCGGACCUCUCGCUAUUAGAGGAGCCCAUGUCCGAUUAGCUAGUUGGUGAGGUAAAGGCUCACCAAGGCGACGAUCGGUAACUGGUCUGAGAGGAUGGUCAGUCACACUGGAACUGAGACACGGUCCAGACUCCUACGGGAGGCAGCAGUGGGGAAUAUUGGACAAUGGGGGCAACCCUGAUCCAGCCAUGCCGCGUGUGUGAAGAAGGCCUUCGGUUGU